GGGCCACUUGCUCCCUGUGCUGUCAGGGCAAUAACUGGGCAAAGGAUGCUUGUGGCCAGGCCAUGGGGGGCCUGGGCAUUGGGGAAAGUGGCAAACCUUGGCAUUCCGUGAUCCUUUCCAGCUUCAUUUUCCCUGGUUAACUGCAGCUGUUAGGAGCACUUAGGAAGCAAAGCAUUAGCUAGUGUAGCCUUGCCCAAGUCACAUGUCUAUUACCUUCCAGUAAAAGCUGCAGCCACAGACUGGGAGCCUGGGUGCAAUAUGAGCAAGUAGGUUGGCCUGAAUUUCCCAGCCUCCUUUAUCUUUCUUCCUCCAGCAACAGAAACUGAGGAGGACUGAAAGAAGUGCUGUUAGCUGCAGACUUGUUGAGAACAGAAUGGCUUUCUUUGCACUAGGUGUCCUGCUCUCUGGGUUGCUAGUCUGGACCAACCAGCUGAAAUCAAGAGGUUUAACUGGUACUUUGAAAAUGCCCCUGCCUGGUCUGCUAAGGAUGACAGGAGUUGGAAGGACUGAGGUGACUUGUCCCAGCUGGCUGACACUGAGAGAUUGUUGCUGAAUGAACAGUGGAAUCCACCAAGACCAAGAAGGUCUGUGACAUGAAAACCAGUUUGCCUGAGUGGACAGAGGCUUGUGGGGGAAGCCACUGGGUGUAGACCAUUGGUGGCCCUGAAUAUAUGCAGGGGUUGGCAACAUGAUGGAUGAGCUGCAUAACCUCUGUGAGGCUGUUUGCUCAUAUGUACAAUGGGAUGUGAACACACACGUAGGAUUCAUUCAUUCAGCCAUUUAUUCACUAAAUAUUGACUGAGCAUGCACUGUGGGUGUGUAGAUACAACAAAUUGAUUAGGCUUGGUCCUUAUCUCAUGUUCUCUGUGGUUCUUCACUAUCAUGUUGCUGAGAUGCCUGGGGAUUAUACAUAUUUAUGACCAAGCUCAUGACACAUUGUGGAUGCUCAAGAAAUGCUACUGUCACGGAGGCCAGGACUCUUGCAAGGGAACAAUGCCUAGGCCUGGUUACUGGACCUGUGGCUAUGAGGCAGAAGCCUGGAUACUGGGGCACUGACCAUUGAGGGAUGUCCUACAAACAGGCAUUGACAAGUCAAUGAUUUCCAAGAAAUGUGGCAUUAUUUCUGGGGGAGAUUUCUUGCCUCUUCCUCAGCCCUGGUGAAGAUCUUGCUAGAAACAAUACAUCUUCUAUGAAACACUCUCCACAGAACGUUUUGGAAAUAAAUCUUCCCUUUCACCACUGGAGCUGAAGUCAAACCGAGCAGUGCACAGAGGAUUUGGAAGGAUUGACACUCGAAGGAAGAAGGAAAAGUGUCCUGAAAGUAGAGUGUGUCGUGGAAGGGCCCGGGAUAGAAUUCUCUUCCGGUGUCCGUUCUGUGGCACUGCAAGGAUGGGAGUUAAGGCGAAGAAGAAUACAAGGCUUCCCCUUAAUACAUUGUUGGCUCACACCUUUCGUGCCCCUUUAGAGGAGAAUCAGAAUAGCAUGAAAGGGGACAUGGAGCUCUCCUUGCCUUACCCUCUCUGCUUUAAGGGUGAGCCGGCCAGAGCCAGUUGCACAAUGUGUGUUCAAGAGAGACCACUUAUUCCAACUCGUGACCAGUCAGAGGUGCAGUUCUAGGCCUGGUGAGCCUCCGAGGUGGGCUGGGCAGAAAGGGGAGCAGGAUCUUCAAUGGGGGAGGCCUCUGAGGCUCCCCAGCACUAUCCGGCUGUGCACAUCUGUUCUAAUGAAGCCACUUGUUAGGGCUAGACAUAGGGUGAAAGAGCCCCCUGGGGUGAAAGACGUCCUUUGUGAAUUAAGACAAGAUUAUUAUAAAUGACGUUUGCUUUGUUUAAUUAAUUCAAAAGCCACCUUCCUUAUCACUUUAUUACAUGGCGCCUGCUCUCCGGAUGCCGCGGUCUCCAGAGCAGGCUUUUUCUCCCCUUUUUGCCUUGGCUCAUGUUGCCUUUGUAGGUAUGAAUUUGUUUUCUUGUUUAUUAUAUUGUUUUUCCCCCUGUUCUUAUGUAAGUAAGAUCCUUGUGGUCAGGAUCUUUGUCUGUUUUGUUCAGAGAGGUAGCCCAGGCCUCUAGAACAGGGGUGCAUAGUAGGUGCUCUGUCAAUAUUUGUGGAUUCAAGAAUGAAUGAAAGCACUCACUGAGGCAGGGAAGAUGCUAAGUGCUUUCCUCUACUCCUAAAAACAUCCCCUCCAGGCAGGUUCUAUUACUGUCCCCACUUUAUACACAAAGAAACCUCGUGACGAAUGUGAUUGAUUGACAGAAGCCAUCUGAGCAGCUUUAUGAGCUGGUCCCUCAGAGGUCAUUGGCAAAGGUGCAAAGUCAGGCAGGCAGGCGGUUGCCCUCUCCCUCCUGUUUCUGCCCACUCUGUGGUGAAGGCCUGGGCUUCCAGAAAUUUCUUUGAAGGAGAAGCUCUACACUCUGUGGUUCUUGAGGCACUUUCUGGCCUUGCUGUGGGUUCCUGAAACCUGACGUUCCAAACAGAGGCAUUUGCUAAUUUCCUGAAGAAAGCUCCAGGAAGUCUUGUCCUUGGGUAAAAGCUGUUCACAGUAGGUGAGAAAAAGGGAAGUUUUCAGACCACCACACACUUGGAGGUUUCAUUUUCAGUGUUGUGUGGAGCUGACAAAUAAACCUAUCUGACUUGGCUCUCCUUCCUUCUCCACCCCAGCCCCGCCCCGCGCCUCUCCUCUUUUCCAGAUUCAUGUGAAUGUUUUGGUUAACUUUAUCCCCUCCUGUGUUAUUGUUGUUGUACCACAUAUUAAUGUGGGGCUUCUGUAGCUGAGAGGAGUACGGUUGAGUUACAGUAACAAGCUACAAGCUGAAGGAAAGUGCUGCGGUUUUUGGCUGGUCCAGUCCCAGAUAUACACCCUCACAUCUGGACAAGAGAUCAUGUGACAGCUUGAAAAGCCAGAAACAUAUCCUGGAUACCAUAAAAAAUGGGUUCUGUUAAAUUAAAAAGGCUUUAAAUACUGGCUCAGCUGGUUUGAGGUCUCAUUCUCUCUCACACACUCGAUUGUUCUGGAAUGUGUUAUAAGAUUUGUGAUUGCUGAAUACUUAAUUUAAUAUCGUGAACCCACUGUAUGGUAAAUUUGUUUGCAUGUCUUUCUGAAGUCCAGCCAGCCCUUCUCCGUUUUCCUAACUUGGGGCAUGGCUUGUUGAUUUGGGGAUCAGAACUUGGUGUCCUGGUGAUAAACACUCUUCCUCUAUUCCACCCCCACCCACUUGCCAACCUUCAGGUACCCCCCCAGAGAAAACCUCCAAAACUUCUGGCCAAAGCAGCUUCCUUUCCUAACCUUUAAGAAAGAGCCUAUAGGAUAAUAAGCUUUAAAAUAUUAUUAAUGGAGAGAGAUGUCAUAGUUCUCUUUGAAUAGAAUCAAGAACAGAUUGGAAAUAAAAAAGUUUUUUGAGAUGAACGGAUGUUAAACACCAAAAUAUGGUCAAAACUCUAUUCCUGCAACUCAGAAAAAAAAAUCUAUUUUCUUUUUCUUACGCAAAUAAAACAUUCUUGUGUUGCCCACUGGACAUAUCUUUCUCCCUGAUUUACCAAGAUUGCAGAAACCAGGAUUAAACAAGGCGCCCGUUCCAAAACCAAAAAUUUGUUUUCUCAAACUAUCAAAGAGAGAAUGACUUUGGAAGCAAGCAUGUGAUCAAAAGACAAGAUAGGAAAAUAGUGCCUGGUUUCCUUUUUAAGAAUAAACAGUCAGUUAGGCCAAGUGCUGUCUCCUGGCAUCUGCAUUAUCUGUUGGUGAUGGUUAAUUUUUUAAUUUAGGAAAAUGUAAUAGAAAUAAUAUUGUUAUGUACCACUAGCUUUGUGUUUUCUAAAAUAUCUUGAAAUCAUCUUAUUUUAACAUAUUAAUUAGUUCAACAUUUCUCCUCCCCCAUUAGACUCUAAGCUUCCUAUGAAUAAGGACCUUGUUUGUUUUGUUCACUGUUGAGCCCUCACUGUCUAGGACAAGGUAUUGCUCAAUGCUACUGCCCAGCUUUGUGUUGAUCUACUUUGUCCUUCCAGGUCCACUCGCUACACUUCCUCCCUGCGUUGGGCCAGGAAGCUGACUUUUAUGAACUAUAUCAGUGGGCUCCCUCGCCCCCGGCUUCCCUUUCGUGCAGCCCAUGGAGGAACCAGGAGUAAACCUGCAUACAGGUUGGUUGAGUCCCUCUACUGAAACAGCAGCUCCUCUUGGGCUCAGGGAGGGUGAUGG
rnacentral:lncRNA from 10 species